rnacentral:rRNA from 1 species
UACGAAGGGGGCUAGCGUUGUUCGGAAUUACUGGGCGUAAAGGGCGCGUAGGCGGUCCUGAUCGUCGGAUGUGAAAGGCCUGGGCUCAACCUGGGAACUGCAUCCGAUACGGCGGGACUGGAGUAUGGAAGAGGUAUGUGGAACUCCGAGUGUAGAGGUGAAAUUCGUAGAUAUUCGGAAGAACACCAGUGGCGAAGGCGACAUACUGGUCCAUUACUGACGCUGAGGCUCGAAAGCGUGGGGAGCAAACAGG